GGAAAAAAGGCGCCUGAGAGGGGAUAUGAUAACUUUAUACAAAUAUAUUUGGGGCAAGUAUGAACCUUUAUCUGGAAAUCUAUUCAUAAACAGGGCUAUACAUAGGACACGAGGUCACACAUUUAGGCUGGAAGAAAGGAGAUUUCAUCUAAGGCAAAGAAAAGGUUUUUUUACAGUAAGAGCAAUAAGGAUAUGGAAUUCUCUGCCUGAAGAGGUGGUUUUGUCAGAG